ensembl:lncRNA
AUAUCUCAAUGAAUAGAUGUAAAAAAAUUCUUGCUUGUUCAUUUUGUUUCUCAGAGAAAUUAUAUUUAACAUUUAAAGGAACUCUUUAACAUACAAAGGAGGUCACUCGGAAGUCUAAUGAGGAAGUGUAUGGCAUUAUGCUUUCAGUAUGCAUCCCCAUCUUUAUUGGAAAUUUUAUUUCUAUUAAAGUUACACUGCCUUUGCUAUUUGAGCACAUGUAGAGCAAUGCAAGACCUCUAGUGCAAAUGCAAAUAUACCAGAUGAAAAUAGGACAUAUUUGUACAUUAUUCUUUAUUUAUUCAGAAAGGUUUCUUCCUUUCCACUUUGACUAUAUAUGCUGUACAGAGUAAUGUUUCUCUUUGUUACAAUGAUAGUGGUAAGGUGUUUCAGGUUGUCAAGUCUAUGCAUUGAACUCUUCACUUUUCUAAUGCCUAGGUCAUAUGGUAUGGUUUUUGGGUGGUCCUGUGUCAAGCCAGGAGUUUAAUUUGACCCUUAUGGGUCCCUUCCUUAGGGGAUCCCUAACUUAGGAUAUUCUAUGAUUCUAUAAUUCUAUGAAAUUGACAUCUUUUCUUCUAGGCAUGGUUAUUAUAGCUAUUCAUAUCUCUAUCAUCUCUCAGUUGGGCUACUGGGAGGAUUGCUGUAAAAGACCCACCAAAGCCAGAGUGAUUUGCCUAACCAGGCUGUUAUGGGCUAUAACAAAUUUUGGGUUCUGCACCGGCUAAUUCUUUUUUUCCACUUGAUUAUAUGUAAAUUUUUACUUUAAAAGCCUAAUUAAUAAAUUACCUACAACUUUCCUUACCUGAAAGUUUUUUUCAGUUUUUCACAAAUGAAAUAGAAAAAAGUUUACUUCUUUUUUUUUUCUAUUUUAAGAUUCUAGAUGUACAGAGGUGAUGUACAGUACUUUAUGUUGAUUUAUUUGUUAAUACACCGUCAAAAGGCAGCUUGAUACUCAACUUGAACCUUUUCCCUCUUACUUUAAUCCUAUUACUGCUGUAUAAAUCCCUGUUUAUCACUCUGAAUGCUUCUUCUCCUGCCUUGGAUUUAUUCUUCUAAGAUAUUCCCAGACUGUUAUCAUGUUCCCCCACUUCAGCAAAGAGUUAGCCAUGGUAUAUUACAUAUUACAUCAUUUAAAAUCUGUGUUCCUCUACUUGUUCUACUGUUUUGUGACAGGUUGUAUUGUCUGCAAUAUCUUUUAUUUGUUGGUAGAGUUUUAGUAAAACCUGUAGUACAGUAUACAUGUCAGCUCAGCUGCUUCUUGAGCCUCAGAAAACCUAAUAGCAGUUAAACAUUUACUUUUAGACUGGAUGCAAAGACAAGGACUAUUAAACUAUCCUAUAAUGUCUCUCUUUUAAAAACAAAACAAUACAAAAUCACCUCAUUUGUAUUCUAUUACAAACACUUGUUCAAUUCAGUUUGCUGUGAUCAGUCCAAUAAUUGUUAUUAUUUGAUUAAUACAUUAUCACAGUGCAUAUGAACCCAGUUCAGGAACUGAGACUUAUUUAUGCCAGGCACUAAUUGAAUUCAAGAAAACAGUUUUUUUCCCAAGGAACUCACAGUGUAAACAAGGCCAAACAACGAAGAACAGAUGACCAACAGGAAAGGAACAAAGAACAGGACUGCAUUUGGAAGAAAAAGGAGAAACAAUGGGCAGUGGUUUCAAAUAUGGAGAGGCCUGGGGCUUUCUUAACAUACCAGCUUUCUUUCUGUCAUUAAGCAUGUGUUCCAAGUAAUUUCCUUUCAAAUACUUGCUUUAAAAUAACUUUCAUGUUUCAUUUUCUACAUUUCUGAUCUUCACUAACAUGAUAACUCUCUGUCCUCUCAGAACCCGCUUUGUUAUCUUUCUCUACCUAAAUCUUUGAUAUGUAUUUGAUCUUCUAUCUGUAGUAUUCUCCAAUCCUUGCAGUUAACAGCAUAGUACAUAAAUAAUAUUUUAAAAAUCUACAGAAAUUUCAGAACAAAUUUUGGAGACAAAUGUGAUUUUAAAAAAUCUAGAUAUAUUACAGCUAUAUGGUAAGUACUUGUAAGUUAAGAUUUAUUUUAUUUUAUCUUACUCAGGAAAAACAAAAAGCAGAUUACUGUUUGUAAGAAAGGCUAUGUGAAUAUUGUUGUCUCAGAAUGCCAGGAAACUUUUCUUUCAAGAACAAAGUUACACAGCACUACAUACCAUCACCAUGUCCAGAAUGUACACCUGCUGAUAGACAAAGUUGUUACCUCAGCUUAAGAAUUCCACGUUUUAAAUGGGCGUUAAAGAGCACAUGUUUUUUGUUAAAACAUAAGUGAGCCAACCCCCACAGGCACAUACCAAUAAAAAAAUGUUACUCUGGAGCUUUGUGCCUCUAAAAGCAUCUCUACAUAUAUUGAGAC